rnacentral:rRNA from 1 species
AUUGAACGCUGGCGGCAGGCCUAACACAUGCAAGUCGAGCGUGCGGCGCACGCGUGAGUAAUGUAUGGGGUCUGCUCGCCAUCAGGGGAGAACUACUGGAAACGGUGGCUAAUACUGCAGCCUGUCGGUUAACCCCUAUGGGAUUAGGUAGUAGGUAAGGUAAUGGCGUACCUUGGGGACGAUCCCUAGCAGGUCUGAGAGGAUGAGCAGCCAAACUGGGACUGAGACACGGCCCAGACUCCUACGGAGGAAGCAGUGGGGAAUAUUGCACAAUGGGCGCAAGCCUGAUGCAGCCAUGCCGCGUGUAUGAAGAAGGCCCUAGGGUUGUAAAGUACUUUCAGUCGGGAGGCGUUACCGACAGAAGAAGCACCGGCUAACUCCGUGCCAGCAGCCGCGGUAAUUC